rnacentral:rRNA from 1 species
AGCGUUAUUCUAAUUAACUGAGUGUAUAGUAUAAAAUAAUAAAUAAAUAUAUGUAUGUAUAUAUAUAUAUGAUUUUAAUAUUAUUAGUUUUUUAAAUUUUAUAUUGUAAUGAUAAAAUAUUUUGACAAUAUAUGGUUUUCUAAUUUAAAAAAUUUUUAAUAUUUUUUUAUUAUUAUGAAGGUAAAAAUAUCAAAUAGGAUUAGGGACCCUAGUAGUUUUUACAGUAAAAAAUAACUAAAUAUGAUUAAUAUAAUUAGUUUACUUAGGUAGUACUUUCGCAAGAUUGAAAUUUAACAGAAUUGGCGGGAAUUUAAUUUAACGGUGGAGUAUGUGGUUUAAUAUGAUAAUCCACGUAAAAACUUACCAAUGUGUUUUAUAUUUAUUUAAUUUUUAUAAAUUAAAAUUAAUAUAAUAUUUAGUAGUAUUGCAUGGCUGUCGUCAACUCGUGUUGUGAGAUGUAGAAUUAGGUUUCUUAACGAGUGCAAUCUUUUAUAUUUAAUUUAUCUAUAUUAUAUAGAUUAAACAAAAAUAUUAUUAAUAAAAGUUGAAGUCAAGUCGGUAUGAUCUUUGUAUGUUGGGCUACACACGUGCUACAAUGGUAAAAACAAAAAAUGGUUUUUAUGUAAAUAUAAACUAUCUUUAAAAAAUUAUCUAAGUUCGGAUUAUUUUUUGUAAUUUAAAAAUAUGAAGUUGAAAUCGUUAGUAAUUAUAAAUGAGUAUGUUAUAGUGAAAAAUAAAAUUAAAUUUUGUACACACUGCCCAUCACGCUCGUAGAAUUAAUUUUAUAUUUUGAAUAAAGUUUAUAUAUAUAUAUUUUCUAAAAUAAAUAUAUUUUUUAUUUUUUUUAUUUUAAUUAGUAAUUUGAGUG